CUCAGUCACAGACACGGUACUUAUUAUGUAGUUUGUGAUCGUCUGUUUCUCUGAAACAUUGCGUUAUUCACCCCUGAUCUGGCUCGUCAUCUGUUUUGAUCAUCCUCCUUUGCUUCACAGCCACCAUCUUCUGUGAAGUCAGACUAACAGUAUGUAUGUAGCUGUCUAAAUAAUGACCUUGUUCAUCCCUGAUAUGGCUGGUCGUCUGUUUUUGCUCAUCCUCCUUUUCGAUACCUUCCAGUACCUCAAAGCCAAAGAUCUUCCUCAGCCCAGUCUGACAGUGAUUCCUGCAGUCAUCAAAGAGAGAGACUCAGUUCAGCUGAACUGUCAGACUCCAUCUGUCUCUGAGUGUUACUUCAAAAUGGAAGGGCAAGUGGAAUUCACCCUACCAUCACCCUGUCAACAUGAACUCACAGGAACACUACUGGUGAGGUGGACAGGUCAGAGUUCACCAGCUGAGGUCAAAAUACAAUGUCAGUACAGUGCUACAGGUUCACAGUUUAGAUCCAUGUUCAGUGAGCCUUCAACAGUCACAAUUCAGGACAUUCCUCAGCUGACAGUGAGUUCUACAGUCAUCAGAGAGACAGAAUCAGUUCAGCUGAGUUGUGAGACUCCUCCAUCUCGCCAUGUGUCUAACUGUUACUUCUACAUAGAGGUGGGGAAGAAUUUUCCAGGGUCAUUGUGUACGCAGACAAUAACAGGAACUGAGCUGCUGAAGAGGGCAGGUCCAACAUUUCCAGCUGUGGUCAAAGUGAAAUGUUACUAUGCUGUAGGGAGGUCUCACACAUCUCCUUUAAGUAACCCUGUCUCAGUCACUGUUCAGGAUCCAAAACCAGACAUUACAGUCCAAUUUGAUGAGGACUUCACCAUCAUCUGUUUGAUUCCUGGAUCGGUCAGUCCUGACAGCACCUGUAACCUGUAUGUUGGAGAGGAGAGUCAGCCAUCCUUCACAGCAAAGACCAAGAAGAGACAAUCCACCUCAGCACCCAGACAGGAGUUCUGUCAAUUCACUCCAAAUCAUAGUGAUCUGAUCAGUGGUCUACAGUCAGUGAGGAGUAAGGAGGUGAGCUGUGAUUACAGAGUGAGCUCUGGACCAAACUCUCUCUCUCCACGCAGUGAUGGGUACAGCUUUACAGAUCUGGUGGGAGUUCACAUCAGUGAUCCAACAACUGUACAGACACCUUCUAUAGCAGUGGGUUUGACUCCAGGUCCUAGAUCUACUUUGCCUCCCAGCAAGACAGUGAGUCCUACAGAAGACACCACAGUGACACCAACUACCAGGUCGACUGUUUGCUGUACUUUUACCACUGACACCCCAGCGAGUCCAACUGAAAGAGUUCAAAGCUCCACAGAAAGUGAUGUGGAAUCAAACAGUCAAGAAAGCAUUCUGGUGGGGCAAUUAUGGCAGGCAGCAGUGGCUUCUGGAGUGGGCGUGCUCCUGGUAGGAUUGACAGCUGUCAGUCUCUGCAGGAGGACCAAGAAAACCAAUUCUCAGAGACCUACAGCCAGACAGGAUGAUCACAGACAAUAUGAAUUGGUGUCUAUGGGAGCGGUGAGCAGAGGAAUCAUGGUGGAUUCAGGAGAUGCUGGAAUCGAUUCUCAGAUCACUUCUGUACUGUUCACGUUCACGCCCUCAGGUAACGUUGAUGUGGAUACACAGGCAUUUGCAAAUAAACAUUCUGACACUUACCAUGUAUACAGCUCAAUCCCCGACAGACCAGCAACCUCAGCCCAGCCGGAUGGGUUGUACAGUCUUCUGCAGACACACUGACACUACACCUCUGGCUUUCUGUAGCUAUGUCUCACACAAAUACAUUCUAUCUCACACGACAUCCAUUGUUUAUCACACAUCCAGUUACUGUAAAUAAGUUGCUUAACAGGUAAUAUAUCUACUGUAUUACACAUAGACAACUGGUUUCUGUUACAUGUCUAUCCAUAAUAUCUGUUACUGUGUUAAUAUAUAUAUAUAUUAUUUUUUAGGGGUCCAGGGGCAUAGUCCCCUUUGAGCAUUUUUCUUAUUUCUUUCCCCUAGUUAAUGCUAAAUCUACUGUAUUUAUGUAUUUUACGUUGACUGUGUGAUACCUCCUUCCAUAGCGGUUGGAUACAAUUAAUUUCCUGUUGGGCAAAACAUAAUCCAAAACACAACCAAAACAAACUGCAAAUGCAUCCAACAAGUUUGUUGAGUCACAAGCUUGAUGUAUUUAUUGGGUGCAAAGAAUCAAGGACCAAAAUACAAAAUGUUUGACUACCUUAAUACACUAUAAAUGAGUUUGUCCAAAUACUUGUGACUUUUUCAAAUGUGGGGACUAUAUAGAUAAAGUGCAUUUAUAUCAAAACGGUAAAACAUACAAUGCCUUCAGAAAGUCUUCACACCCCUUGACGAUUUCCACAUUUUGUUGUGUUACAGCCUGAAUUUAAAAUGUAUGAAAUUGAGAUUUUUUUUUGUAACUGGCCUACACACAAUACCCCAUAUCGGGGUGGCAGGUAAUCCAGUGGUUAGACCGUUGGACUAGUAAUCGAAAGGUUGCAAGAUCGAAUUCCCGAGCUGACAAGGUAAAAAUCUGCCGUUCUGUCCCUGAACAAGGCAGUUAACCCACUGUUCCUAGGCCGUCAUUGAAAAUAAGAAUUUGUUCUUAACUGACUUGCCUAGUUAAAUAAAGGUAAGGUCAAAGUGGAAUUAUGUAAAAAAAAAAAGAGUGUCAUUGAGUAUUUAACCCCUUUGUUUUGGAAAUCCAAAAUAAGUUCAGAAGUAAAAUUCUGCUUAACAAGUCGCAUAAUAUGUUGCAUGGACUCACUCUGUGUGCAAUAAUAGUGUUUAACAUGAUUUUUUAAUGGCCUCAUCUCUGUACCCCACACUUAUAAUUAUCUGUAAAGUCCAUCAGUCACGUAGUGAAUUUCAAACAUAGAUUCAACCAAAAAAACAGGGAGGUUGUCUAAUGCCUCACAAAGAAGGAAACUUAUUGUUUAAAAAAAGCAGACAUUGAAUAUCCCUUUGAGUAAGGUGAAGUUAUUAAUGGAUGGUUUAUCAAUAUACCCAGUCACAACAAAGAUAACGGCAUCAUUCCUAACUUAGUUGCCGAAGAGGAAGAAACCUGCUCAGAGUUUUCACCAUGAGGCCAAUGGUGACCUUAAAGCAGUUACAGAGUUUAAUGACGCUCAGCAGCACCUUCUCCACGCUGCUCUUCGUCGUCCUUCUCGCCUUCCUGUGGAGGAACUGGGAGGUCAUCUCGCAGUACCUGGAUCCCCUCCUGAUGUCCCCGAGUCGACCUACACGGGUGGGGCUCUCUUAAUGAGUGACGAAGGGAGGUGAUGGUGGGGCGGGGCUCCCUGAACAAUGAGGGACAGAGGCAGGGACUGGUGUGUGGGGGGGGGACUAACUAACAAACCCGUACACUGCCUCUGAUGCAUGUGGUGGAGCCAGGCAAGUACAAAGGGUGGGCUUAGCGGAAAGGAGGAGGAUGAUGAGGUGCCAGGAGAUCUGCACACUUACUUCUCUCUCUCUCAGAACUGUGAAAUUGUUUACACGUGGAAGAUGUUUUCUUGAUUUAGAAUUGAUUCAAGUGGUAUUGAAUUUGUUUCUUCUUAUUAUUGCAGUCAUUAAUGCAAAUGCUUGAGGGCUUUCUCUUGUGGCAGGAUUGGGAAGGUAAACAGCUGGCAUGUUGAUGAUCCACAUGGCUAGUGACUUCACCCUUUUUUUGAUCUCCUUUUCUCUACGUCCAAAAUCUCUUUCCUUUUCUCUCUUUAACCCUAAAAUCUCUCCUUUCUCCCUUUUCUUACUCCCAAUAUGGUCUCUUCCGUGUUUGUCUUCCUCUGCCCCUCUUCUCAAUCACCCCAGUCUUUGCCCAUUUCACCAAAUCGCUCUUCUUUCUGGGAGGAUUGAUGUGACUAGCUACAGUGCACUGUUGUGGACAAAAUCUAAUUCAUCACUGGAUCAAGCAAGUGAUGGGUUCUUGACUUGUUUCUAUUGGACGAGCUAAAUGCGACGUUGGGCUUGAUUGGAUCAGGACUGAGUCGGAAUAUGCUCAGCUUGACGCCUUGCACUCUUGGCCUGGCCUGUUGGAUCUGCCCCUGCUGAGACUAUAAACUAAUCUAUAAACUGAAUGAACAUACUUGAAGAGCUGUGAAACUGCUCAGACUUUCAGUGCUUCCGUACUGUUUCUAUUAGUGAAAAUGAAAUGUAAACUUUUUAUUUUUUUAAACAAAUAAACAUGCGGUUUUAAAAAUGAAGGAUUGAGUCAACAAACC
rnacentral:lncRNA from 1 species